rnacentral:piRNA from 1 species
UGCCUGCAGGAAAGUUACUUUCAACACGUGU